UACGUAGGGUGCAAGCGUUGUCCGGAAUCAUUGGGCGUAAAGAGCUCGUAGGCGGCCUGUCGCGUCUGCUGUGAAAUCCCGGGGCUCAACCCCGGGCGUGCAGUGGAUACGGGCUGGCUAGAGGCAGGCAGGGGAGAACGGAAUUCCCGGUGUAGCGGUGAAAUGCGCAGAUAUCGGGAGGAACACCGGUGGCGAAGGCGGUUCUCUGGGCCUGUACUGACGCUGAGGAGCGAAAGCGUGGGGAGCGAACAGG
rnacentral:rRNA from 1 species